rnacentral:lncRNA from 1 species
UCCAUCACGUAAGAGUUUAGAUAACACGAGGAGCCUAAGUCCCUCAAGUGAAACUGUAUGUAACCCGACUAAUGAGACUAUAUGUCAUUCAGGAGAGGCAUUUUUACCUAUCAGGUGGGACUCCCCAUCGAACCCUCAUGUAAGACUUGUGAUCUACUAUCUAAUGCUGGAUAUCUGUCGGACCUCUCGGGCAUGAUAGUUAAGACGUGUCCCGCCCGAGGAGACAUUAAGUCCCUUAGUCGAGAGUUUAG